rnacentral:misc_RNA from 1 species
CUCCCCAGGUUUAUGGCAUGCAUGAGCAACUCCUGUUGGAUCCCAAUGAUAGACCGGAUGAUGGGGCCGAUUCCUCCUCCAGCAAUUCGGUUGCAAGAUGCAAAAAUCGUAAUAGAUUCCCCUUCAGGAUUGCUGGUGAUCUCCCUGAACUUGGUGCAUUUCCUUUAUCUUUGGAUCUUCUCUCUCGCGAAAUGCCAGGAUGGGCUGAACAAUUCAUGUCCAUGGGGCUCAAAAGAAUUAUGUGCCAUGCUCUCCCUCACCUAAGUGAGGUCUCUUGGUGGGGCUCCUCCUAUCGCAGUCUCACAACGUCUGGUCCUUCCACUGUUCAAAUUCAGAUUCUGGAAGAAAAUGCUGAGGCCUCUG